UACGUAGGGUGCGAGCGUUGUCCGGAAUUAUUGGGCGUAAAGAGCUCGUAGGCGGUGUGUCACGUCGGCCGUGAAAACCUGCAGCUUAACUGUGGGCGUGCGGUCGAUACGGGCAUCACUGGAGUUCGGCAGGGGAGACUGGAAUUCCUGGUGUAGCGGUGAAAUGCGCAGAUAUCAGGAGGAACACCGGUGGCGAAGGCGGGUCUCUGGGCCGGAUACUGACGCUGGAGGAGCGAAAGCCGUGGGGAGCAAACAGG
rnacentral:rRNA from 1 species